AUUGAACGCUGGCGGCAGGCCUAACACAUGCAAGUCGAGCGGAUGAAGGGAACUUUUUCUUGGCUUCAGUGGCGGACGGGCGAGUAAUUCAUAGGUGUCUGCCUGGCAGAGGGGGCUAAGGUAAGGUAACGGGCGCUAAUAUAGCAUACGUUCUGAGGGUGAACGGCGUGGAUCUUCGGAGCACAACCUACCUGCUGAGACUUGGUGGGAUUAGCUAGUUGGUGGGGUAAGGGCCUACCAAGGCGACGUUCCGUAACUGAUCUGAGAGGAUGAUCAGUCACACUGGAACUGAGACACGGUCCAGACUCCUACGGGAGGCAGCAGUAGGGAAUAUUCGACAAUGGGCGAAAGCCUGAUCCAGCCAUGCCGCGUGUGUGAAGAAGGUCUUCGGAUUGUAAAGCUCUUUAAGUUGGGAGGAAGAGCAGUAAGUGAAUACCUUGCUGUUUUGACGUUACCAACAGAAAAAGCACCGGCUAACUUCGUG
rnacentral:rRNA from 1 species